GAUUCACACUUGGUCCAAGUGCAAUGUGCCUUUUCACUAAUAUGGAUGAAAACACAUUUUAUGCUUGAAACUUUAAAGAUUGAGAAGGCUACCCUCAUUUCUUGCAAUAAUCAUCAUCCUUGUAAGUUAUAUCCUUCCUUGUGGAUUAACCAUAAAAAAUUGUGUAACGACACGUGAUCUUUCUACGUGAGGUGCAAAAAACCCUUUAAAAAGUGUGGGCUUUGGAGCACUAACCAUGAACUUUCUUUCAAAAAUUGAUUUAGAGGUUGGUUGUGGACGGAAAAUGAAGAUGAAGGCAUGGGGUGCUGUAAUAGUAAAGAGUCAUAGUUCUUUUAGCAACCACAACUACUUCACUGCCUCAAGGAAUGGAUUCAAGCUGAGACCGAUAUUC
rnacentral:lncRNA from 1 species